rnacentral:rRNA from 1 species
UACAGAGGGUGCAAGCGUUGUUCGGAAUUAUUGGGCGUAAAGGGCGCGUAGGCGGUGCUGUAAGUCUGUAGUGAAAUCUCUGGGCUCAACUCAGAGUCUGCUAUAGAAACUGCAGUGCUGGAGUGUGGGAGAGGUGAGUGGAAUUCCCGGUGUAGCGGUGAAAUGCGUAGAUAUCGGGAGGAACAUCAGUGGCGAAAGCGGCUUCCUGGUCCAGCACCGACGUUCAGGCACGAAAGCGUGGGGAGCAAACAGG